GAUGAACGCUGGCGGCGUGCUUAAUACAUGUAAGUCGGACGGAGCGUUAGCAAUAGCGCUUAGUGGCGAACGGGUGAGUAACACGUUGGUGACCUGCCCCGAAGCGGGGGAUAACAGUUCGAAAGGACUGCUAAUACCGCACGACAACUUGGCGAUUAGAAGGCCAGGUUGAAAGCAGCGAUGCGCUUUGGGAGGGACCUGCGGCCCAUCAGCUAGUUGGUAAGGUAGAGGCUUACCAAGGCGACGACGGGUAGGGGGCCUGAGAGGGUGAUCCCCCACACUGGCACCGAAACACGGGCCAGACACCUACGGGUGGCAGCAGUAGGGAAUAUUGCACAAUGGGCGAAAGCCUGAUGCAGCAACGCCGCGUGCACGAUGAAGGCCUUCGGGUUGUAAAGUGCUUUUCUGCAGGACGAGGAAGGACGGUACUGUAGGAAUAAGGAUCGGCUAACUACGUGCCAGCAGCCGCCGUAAAAC
rnacentral:rRNA from 1 species